AUUGAACGCUGGCGGCAUGCCUUACACAUGCAAGUCGAACGGCAGCACGGGUGCUUGCACCUGGUGGCGAGUGGCGAACGGGUGAGUAAUACAUCGGAACAUGUCCUGUAGUGGGGGAUAGCCCGGCGAAAGCCGGAUUAAUACCGCAUACGAUCUACGGAUGAAAGCGGGGGACCUUCGGGCCUCGCGCUAUCGGGUUGGCCGAUGGCUGAUUAGCUAGUUGGUGGGGUAAAGGCCUACCAAGGCGACAAUCAGUAGCUGGUCUGAGAGGACGACCAGCCACACUGGGACUGAGACACGGCCCAGACUCCUACGGGAGGCAGCAGUGGGGAAUUUUGGACAAUGGGCGAAAGCCUGAUCCAGCAAUGCCGCGUGUGUGAAGAAGGCCUUCGGGUUGUAAAGCACUUUUGUCCGGAAAGAAAUCCUUGGCCCUAAUACGGUCGGGGGAUGACGGUACCGGAAGAAUAAGCACCGGCUAACUACGUG
rnacentral:rRNA from 1 species